ACGUGAGGAGCUGGAGUCAGUUUUUCGCAGGAAAUCAAGUUCUGGCAGUUUCGGGAGAACGGCCAUAACUUCCUCCACAGAACUCCGAUUCAGGCGAAACAGGCGGCCACGGAAAGCUCUCUCGAAGACAAAGAAGUCGUAUUUCUGGGCGAAAUACGAUUUGAGGACGUUUGAGGCUUCAAACGAAGGCUUGAAGCUGACUGGUCUGUUCAGCUGCGAGUUUGACGAAAACUUUAGAAAUUUCAAGAGUUCAUAUAGGGAUGCGUUGGUAGAAAUCAUCAAAGGGAGUUAUCAAUUUCAAGAAUUAGUUUUGCAGUUUCAGAGUCGAAGUGGCCAUGGAAGUGGAGAAUGACUAGGGAUAAGGAUUUCUUUUACAUUGGACAUUUUAGUUGAACUUAUUAAGUUUUAUUUUAUUUUCAUGUUACUACUUUAGUUUUGGCAAGUUGACUUUGAAAUUAGUUUAAAUUUUCUUUAUAAAUCAAUAAAUUUUAUUUUCACUA